AAAGGAAAUGCUGUUGGUGAUGGUUCUUCUGGUGCAAUUUCAAGUUUCAAUUGCCAUUUGGAAUAUAAUUGCUUAGUUAUAUUACUUUCGCCAUGACAAGCAAGGCAUUUUGUUGCUUGCUGUUUUAUGUAUUAGCACUGCAAAAAGUUUAUAUGAGUAAGAAAGGAAAAGAAGAAUAGAGGACAAUGUUGAAUAACUAGAAAGAAUGCUGGUGUGAUAGAUGACAGGUCUUAAAAGUUAUUUGGUUGAUCUUAUACAAGGCCCUGGUGUUUGAUGAUGUAUCAGGUAACAAAAUGAUGAUAG
rnacentral:misc_RNA from 1 species